rnacentral:rRNA from 1 species
UACGUAGGGUGCGAGCGUUGUCCGGGAUUACUGGGCGUAAAGAGCUCGUAGGUGGUUUGUCGCGUUGUUCGUGAAAACUCACAGCUCAACUGUGGGCGUGCGGGCGAUACGGGCAGACUGGAGUACUGCAGGGGAGACUGGAAUUCCUGGUGUAGCGGUGAAAUGCGCAGAUAUCAGGAGGAACACCGGUGGCGAAGGCGGGUCUCUGGGCCGAUACUGACGCUGAGGAGCGAAAGCGUGGGGAGCGAACAGG